rnacentral:rRNA from 1 species
AAAGGGUGCGUAGGCGGGUAGGUAAGUCAGUGGUGAAAUCCUGGAGCUCAACUCCAGAACUGCCAUUGAUACUAUCUAUCUUGAAUAUUGUGGAGGUAAGCGGAAUAUGUCAUGUAGCGGUGAAAUGCUUAGAUAUGACAUAGAACACCCAUUGCGAAGGCAGCUUACUACGCAUAUAUUGACGCUGAGGCACGAAAGCGUGGGGAUCAAACAGGAUUAGAUACCCCGGU